GAUGAACGCUGGCGGCGUGCCUAAUACAUGCAAGUCGAGCGAACAGAUGAGGAGCUUGCUCCUCUGACGUUAGCGGCGGGCGGGUGAGUAACACGUGGAUAACCUACCUAUAAGACUGGGAUAACUUCGGGAAACCGGAGCUAAUACCGGAUAAUAUAUUGAACCGCAUGGUUCAAUAGUGAAAGACGGUUUUGCUGUCACUUAUAGAUGGAUCCGCGCCGCAUUAGCUAGUUGGUAAGGUAACGGCUUACCAAGGCAACGAUGCGUAGCCGACCUGAGAGGGUGAUCGGCCACACUGGAACUGAGACACGGUCCAGACUCCUACGGGAGGCAGCAGUAGGGAAUCUUCCGCAAUGGGCGAAAGCCUGACGGAGCAACGCCGCGUGAGUGAUGAAGGUCUUCGGAUCGUAAAACUCUGUUAUUAGGGAAGAACAAAUGUGUAAGUAACUAUGCAUGUCUUGACGGUACCGAAUCAGAAAGCACGGCUAACUACGUG
rnacentral:rRNA from 1 species